GCGCAACACUUCGACAUUGCGAGGUCGUUCGUACUAUACCGAUCCCAGCUGCGCGCGAAUACACUCACCGAUCGAGAGCUGCAUAAUCGAAAACAAAACACAAUCAAAAUGGGUGAAUCCGGAGGAUAUAGUAAUGAGGAAAAAGAAAGAAUAAAGACGGGAGCCGCAAUUGGUGCAACAGUCGGUACAGUUGCCGGCGCGGCGGCGAUCGGGAGUAUGGC